rnacentral:lncRNA from 1 species
GGUGAACAAUGAAGAUAACAAGAAUAGUACUCAAAACUCAAUCAUGCCAAGGGACAAAUAUCCAAAACCAAUCAUUUUUCAUGAUGGAAGAUUAGCAUUCUUGCCAACACCUUCAGCAACACUCUACAUGUUCAUGUGGCUACCAUUAGGAUUUUUUAUAGCAAUUUAUAGAAUGCUUAUUGGUAGAUUCUUGCCAAUCAAAUUAUCACUUCCAUUAGGAUGUUGGACUGGAUUAGAUCUAAACCUCAAAGGCACUGACCCUAAAAAAACAGAACAAAACAGAGGUGUUCUAUUUGUAUGCACACAUAGGACACUAUUAGAUCCUGUUUUCCUAAGCGCGCUAUUAUUAAGACCUUUAACAACGGUAACAUAUAGUUUAAGCAAAGUUUCCGAGUUCCUAGCGCCGAUGAAGACAGUGAGGUUAACACGAAAAAGAGAGCAGGACGCCGAAACAAUGCAAAAAUUACUAAGAGAAGGUGAUAUAGUCGUUUGUCCCGAAGGAACAACUUGUAGAGAACCAUAUUUGUUAAGGUUUAGUUCAUUGUUUGCCGAGUUAGCUGAUGACAUAGUGCCUGUGGCAGUGUAUAGUCAUGGCAGCAUGUUUUAUGGUACAACAGCAAGUGGAUUGAAGUGUUUGGAUCCUAUAUUUUUCUUGAUGAAUCCUAAACCUAGUUAUCAUAUUCAAAUUCUUGGGAAGGUACCUAAGGAACUUACAUGUGCUGGUGGAAAGUCAAGUGUUGAAGUGGCUAAUUAUAUUCAGAAACAGUUGAGUGAUGCUUUGGGAUUUCAGUGUACAAAUUUAACUAGGAGGGAUAAGUACAUGAUGCUUGCAGGGAAUGAAGGGAUCGUUCAACAAGUUAAUUCCAAAAAAUGCUCUUGAUGAACAUAUAUGCUUUUUUAAAAAAAGAUUAGUCAAUCUUUUUUUGUAUACUAGUUUUCUUUUGGUCUUGUUUGUUAUCUUGAUUAUGACAUUUAUGAAUUGUGAUUUUAAUGAAAUGAAAGUGAAUUGCAUAUUCAUGUACAAUGUACUUCUACUUCUUGUCCUCAACCAGUUGAACUGUGAAUUGACAUUGCCUAUGGUUUGGUUGUGUGACUAGUUCAAUAAAAGAUGUUGAAUCUCAAGUAAAAAUAAUGGUGGAAGUAGUCACAAGAAAAAGAGGUUUAAAUUGUGACUCUUCUAAAAAUUGUUUUUCAGAAUCAUUUUGGUAUGUUGGUUGAUAUGAUUCUGAUGUAUAAGUGAAUGAGGACAAAAGUGUAUACAACUCCAUAAUCAAUCUGAUAUGCUAACUAAUAUGAUUCUGAUAUAUGUGUGAUUAUUGCACUGAAGUGUAUAUGACUUCAUAAUUAAUUUGACUUAUAUGAUUAUGAUGUGUGUAAAUCUAUCUAUAAUAAAAAAGAAAGAUAGAAGAUUUAAACACACAAGAUUUAUUCUGGUUCAUCCAAUGUGGGUUGCUCCAGUCAUCCCAAAUGUGAGAGUUCGGUAUGUUUUCGUGACAACCUCUCAAAUUAUGCAUAAUUCUUUUUAUGACCUAGACAUACCUUAGCGGUCUGUUUGUUUGAAGAGAAAUAGGGAAGAGAGAGAUAGAGAAGAGAGAAAUAGGAAAGAGAUGAUGACUUUCUCUUGUUUGAAAUGAAGAGAAAUAGGGAAGAAAGAUUAUAAAAUGGUGGGUUCCAUUGCCUUUUGUUUUCUCCUUGAGACCGCGAAGAAAGGGAAGAGAAGUGUUGUUGUUCCAAUUUCACCCAUGUAUUUAAAUCUUGGUCUUAUAUUCUCAUUUACAAUCUAUAAUUAUUUCUGUAAAUUACAAAAAUGGCUCUUCAAUAUGAAUUUUUUAUUUUUUAGAAAAAAAUUCAUGAACAAUAUGAAGAAUAAUACGCAGGAAAAGUUGCAAAAAAACGCAGGAAAAGCACUAUUGGAGAGGAAAGGAACUGAAAGUAUCAAUUGCUGGUCAAUGAACAAUAAGGAAAUCAUUUAAAAAAAUACAAGGGCAAUCCAAUCACCAAAGCAAAUCAUGGGUGAAGAGUGAAGACAUCGUUUUUUUUUUAUUAAUUAAAAUCAAUUAAAAAAAUACAAGGGCAUUAUUGUACUUUUGAAAUUAAACAACAUUUCUCUCUCUUCUAUUUCUCUUCUUUUUCUCUUAAACCAAACAAUACCUCAAAUUCUAUUUAUCACUUUUUUUUCUCUCUUCUCAAACUCUUUCUCACAUUUUUUUCUCUUCUCAAUUUCUCUUCACAGUCAAACACACUCUACAAGUAUGAGUCUGAGAUGGAUAAUAUUCUCUAACUUUUUUGAGGAAAAGUCAUGUGACUUUGUGAUGUAUGAGUCAUGUGACUUUUAUUUACCAGGAUUAGCGCUUGUUUUUCCUUCACGCUUUUGUACAUGCAAGAGAAGCUCUUUAUCAAGAUGAGAACUCGAGGUCGAGUUCUUUUGAGGUAGAGGAGACUGAUGUAGGACGAUUUCUUCAAUAUUUUAUUAUUUUAGUUAGAUUUAGUUUUAUUAUAUUUUAGGAAGAUUUCUUAUUUUUAUAUUUCACCUAGAUUAGUUAUUUUUAUAUUUUAGGUAGAUUUGUUAUUUUUAUUUAGCUAUGUUUGUUAUUUUUAUUUUUACAAUCUUUUAGAAGGUUUGUUAUUUUUAUUUUUUUACUACUAUUUAAGCUAAACUAUUAUAGUCUUGAAGGCAAACCUUUUGAUUCAAUAAAAUAUAGAGAAUUUUCUCAAAUUUGGUGGAUUCCAAAUUAUUCUUUCUGGUGGAUUCCAGAACUUUUAUCUAACAGGAUUAACGCUUGUUUUUCUUUCACGCUUCCGUACUGCGUCACUUUGUCUCUAUCUCUCUCCUCUUUUAUCUUCUCUCUCAUCUGUUCCCUCCAAAAUUUAUUCAUAUUUUUACAUUAUCUUAUUCCCUCCGGUCCUUAAUAUAAGAAAUGAGAAUGUUAACAUGUGCCCUUAAGUUGCAAAAAUAGAAAUUAUUAAAUUUUAAUUUGUGCAUUUUAAGUUUUGAAGCAUUAAAUUUCUUGUAUCUUUAAAUGUUGAGUUUUUAUAUUGGGAUAUCUUAACAUGUGUCAUUAACAAGACCCUAAUAUAAGAAAACUUUCACUUUUUAAAUACAUUGAAACAUUGAUGUAUCUAGACUAUAUUGCUCCAAAAUUGAAGGACCCGAAUUCUUAUACUAGAGACCAAAAGAUAAUUCAGCCUUUCAACCAUACUUAAAAGGAAACUAUAUUUUUUUUUUUAAAAAAAGAAGUUGAAUUAGUAGAUUUUCUUUAACAAAAAUGUUGUGUAUCUCGAAAGAGGAACGCUUAAUAUAGCGAAAAUGAAUAUCACGAUUUUUUCACGAACAUGUACCACAAGCAACAAAAACAACCGACUUGCAUUAUUUAGUUAAUUCAACUCGCUCAUUUUUCUUUUUUGAGGAAAAUUCAACUUCACUAUUCAAAACGGUGUGUGUUUGGUUUUGUAUAACCUUUCUGGCACUCUAGAAUGCUUCCAUGCUUAUGAUGUUGCAUACCAACCACCAAGUGUCAUUUUUUGCCACAAUAAUAAGAAGUUCCACGUCGGUUGUGUGAUGGCCUUGACAAGUGUUUAUAAGCAAGUGACAAUCCUCACCUUACAAGCCGAUUUUGUAAGGAUGAGUUAGGCUCAAUACUCAUUUCUAAGAUGGUAUCAGAGCCUCUCCCCGAUCCGUUGAGCCACCUAUUAUCAGGUUUCCGCUAUCGGGCCACCCACCGUUUAUAUCCACACACCAAGUCCAAUAGUGUUGGGCGUGAGGGGGUGUGUUAAGAAGUCUCACAUCGGUUGUGAGAUGACAUUGACAAGUGUUUAUAAGCAAGUGACAAUCAUCACCUUACAAAUUGGUUUCGUAAGGAUGAGUUAGGCCCAAUACUCAUUUCUAAAACACGAAGUUGUGAAACGUGAUUAAAGAUGGUUUAAUCUGUUUAUAUAGUGAUAAAGUGCUUCCAUGCUUAUGAAGUUGCAUACCAACCACCAAGUGUCAUUUUUUGCCACCAAGUUAUGAAACGUCAUUAAAGAUGGUUUAAUCUGUUUAUAUAAUGAUAAAGUGCUUCAUAUGCUAGCAAUUCAAGUGAGAUAUCAAUAUGAAAACAUGUACUAGUAUUCCUGAAAAAUUCGUGUGAAAUACCUUCGCGAGAUAUAACAGAGCUCAUCUCGAAAUAUAAGUUUCACAAAAAUCACUCAAGUUUUUUACUAUUGAUUAAAAUUUUGACCGACCUUUAAUUUUUUGGAACAUUCGCGUUGCAAUCAUUUCGCUCUACAUAGUAGUACUCUUUCUUUAAUAGGUAGAAGUCAAACUCGAUACUCAAACACAAUUAAGCCCUGUACAUGUGCUUCUCAUUUCUCAAAGGAAACAGAUUUCCUGCUGUUUGGUUUCCCACAGUUUUCACGCUGUUUUAAAUUACAGCCGUCCGAUCUAAACUGUGUGAUCAAGAUAGAUUUAAGUGAUUUUAUAACUGUGUUGAUCUGGAUCGUCCGAUUAACAAUCAACGGCCAGAAUCAAAACUGCGUGAAAACUGCGUGAAAAAUUACUGCAGCAAAUCUGCAUCCUUUCUCAAACACAAUUUUGGCAAUAUUAAUUUUAUUUUAUGAAGCAAUUUUGGCAAUAUAUAUUAAUGUCAUAAAUUUAUAUGGUUUCAUCUAUUUUAAAUAGAAGUGACAUAAAUAUGACUAUCUUGUUUUGCCUAAUUUGUUAAAUCUAACUCAACCGAAGAAACAUGUUUGAAUCUUAAUACACCCCAAUUCACUGUAUUGUAUGAUUGUUGUAGGGGACCCAAAUCCCAUAGAUAAUACUUUCACCGUACCAAAAUAUAAGUCAUUUUGACGCUAUUAUAUAAAUUAAAAAAUAUAAUUAAUGUUAUAUGAAAAAGAGAAAUUAUGAAUUAGUUUACAAAAUUAUCUUUUAUUAAUAGCAUGAAAAAAAUAAAUUGAAGAGUUGAAGAAAAAAAAUAGAGUAAUAAACAGUUAAAAGUAUAAUAGAAAAAAUUAAUAACAGUAAAUAUUUCAUUAGUAUUGUAAUGUGACUUAUAUUUUAGUACAAUUUUUUUUCUCAAAGCGACUUAAUUCUUAUAUUUUAGUACGUAAAAUUGAGCGGAGGAUACUUUACCACUCCUUACCUCACCAUUUAAAAUAUUCCUCAACACCGUCCUCAUUCCCUGCUUCGGUGAGUAUUCUUUCUUCAUCCUCAUCUCUGCGGAGAUCCAUCAACCUUGAAAAAAUAUCAAAUUUCUAUUAUUUUCAAUAAGGUAAUCGUAAAAAAAUAGUAAAGUUUAAUUAUAAAAUAAAUAAAAAUAUUAAAAUAUUUUAUAAAUUACUCAAGUAUACAUUUAUAAAUAUUAUUUUAAUAAAAAAAAUUGGGGACGGGAGUCUCUGCAGAGUGGGAGGUAAAAUUGUCCCCAUUUUCAAUUUUCCUCCAUCUCCAUAACAAAAAAAAAAAAAAAACUCCAUGAAAUGACAUCCUUAAGUACGGAGGUAGUAUUUGCUCGAUGAAAAUUAAAGAAUACAGUACUACUCCUAUCGACAAGUAUUUAAGUGUGAGUAAUUACCUCUCACACAUUUAAUUAAGCAACUAACAUCAUAACUAUUAACUGAUCCACUUCAAGUAUGAUCAAUAACAGCCUUGCGAAUGUGUGAACAAAAGUCAAACUUAACUUAAAGAUAUCUAAUUGUCAUUUGGUCAAUUUGAGUAAUUUGAAUGUUAUUUUUUUUAUUAUUAUCGAUUUUAGUUAUAUUUAUAUAUUGUGCAUUUAUACAUAUAUUUAAUUUUAAAUUUAAUUUUUAAAUAACGUAUCUCAGCCGUAUUGUAUUGGGAAUUUUGAAAAAUUUACCGUAUUGCCGUAUCAGUGUCGUAUUGUAUCGGUAUCGUAUCAUGUAUUGGAGCUUCAUAGAUUUUGACCAAAGAAUAUUAUAAAAAUGGUUAAUUCAAAAGUCAAUUUAUCCAAUGAUGUGGGUUAUCUAACUCUCUAUUGGCUCAUAUAUAUGGACACAUAAACAGCAAAAGAAAAAUGGAAUGAGAAUUUGUUUGAUGAAUCAAUCCUUCAAUCACUCUAUAAAUAUUAAUGCCAACUGUGUGGUAAUGCCAACUGUGUGGUUAACCAAAUGCUUCAAUCACUCCUUUAAUGACUCUAUAAAUAUUGGUCCAACUUGAUUACCAUCACUACAAAAUUGAUAGAGCAGCUAAUAGGAGUUGGCACUCACAAAACCAUUCAUUUAUUAAAUUAUCAUCUAUCCGUUCCAAAAUUUAAGUUACUUUAGCCAAAUUGCACAAAUUAAAAAAUAUAAUUAAUAUUGUAUGAAAAAGAAAAAUUAUGAGUUAGUUUACAAAAUUAUUCUUCAUUAAUAGUAUAAGAACGAUAAAUUGAAAGAAGAGAGAGUGAUAAAUAGUUAAGAGUAUAAUAGGAAAAAUAACAUUAAAUGUUUCAUUGCUAAUGUAAAGUGACUUAUAAUUUGGUACAAAUUUUUUUCUCAAAGUCACUUACAUUUUGGAACGGAGGGAAUAUCAUUUAUGUUAUAAAAAAAUAUUUAAUUAACUAAUAUAAGAUGUUAUAUUUUAUAAAAAAAUCUGAAACACUUUAAAAAAUUUCAAAAAAAUAUUAAUAAAACAAAAACCAUUAAAUAUAGUGCAACGCAAAAAACGGCAUGAAAAACGGACGUCUCUAAUCCGCGAGUGCGCUUUGUACACCCAUAAAUAUUACUAUCUUUACACUCUGCUCUUCGCCACAUAUACACACAUUUCCAAUUCCUAUCCUUAAAGAGAUUUUCUAAGGCUUGUAGAUUUUGUUUUGUACCAGCUACUAGCUAGUUCAUAUUAUAGAGCUGCAAGAAAAAUGAAAAGUUAUGGUUUUAAUUUAGCUUAUCUUUCAUCUAAACCACCUCAUCAACCUUGUUCAUUUCCUAGUAUAACAAAAUGUGAUUUACAAGGUAGAAUGUCACAAACACUUGUUUGUGACAUUCAUAGAGUUCUCUUGAAAUCUCAUUCUUUUUUUCCAUUUUUCAUGCUUGUUGCUUUUGAAGGUGGCAGCAUUUUUAGAGCUUUUUUGUUGCUUAUGUCUUGUCCUUUACUUAUGAUUUGUGAUUAUGAGUUUAAGCUAAAGAUUAUGACUUUUAUUACUUUUUGUGGUUUAAAAAUAAAGGACAUGGAAAAUGUUUCAAGGGUUGUUUUACCAAAGUUUUAUUUAGAGAAUCUUAAUGUUAAAGUUUAUGAGGUUUUGGCUUCAACAGGGUCAAAGGUUGUCAUCACAAGUGUUCCUAGAGUUAUGGUUGAAGGAUUCUUGAAGGAAUAUUUGAGUGUCGGUCAUGUUAUAGGGACAGAGUUGCACACUUUUGGUUGCUACUUCACUGGUUUUCUCACUAGCUCUGGCUUAGUGGUUAGACAUAGAGCACUUGAUGAUUAUUUUGGUGAUAGAAAACCUGAUAUUGGAAUUGGAACUUCAAGUUUAUAUGAUCAUCUUUUCAUUUCAUCUUGCAAGGUAAGUUUGAAUUUAGGUCCUAUGUUUUAAAGGUUAAUACAAUGUCUAAACUCCCUCAUAAUAUGUUUUCCUUAAAAACCAGAUGGUUGAUACAAAACACUCUCUUAAAUCCUUGGAUGAAGGGGUGCAUAUUUUUAACUUAUUUUAUUGUUUAAUGAAAUUAAAAAAAUUAUUGUUUUGGUUCCCUGAGCGGUGAGUCUAGCUCAGUUGGUAGGAAAAUUACAUUAUUAUAUGCAGGAGUCGGGGUUUGAACUCCUAAACACUCCACUUAUUCACAUUUAAGAUGUAAUUUCUAGUCACUAAGCUACUAAACAAAAAAUAAUUAUAGUUUUGUCAUUUCUACAUAAACAAAUAUAACUAUAUUUUUUAAGUCAAAAAAAUAAUUAUCUUUUUAAAAUAAACGCAUAAUUUUUUUUUUUAUCUUUCAUGAUUUUUCAGACCUCUAAUAAAUUAUAAUUUAUUUUUAAGUUACUAUGAUAUAGAUAUGAAAUUACUGUGCCACAAGUGUAGCUCAAAUGAUAGUUAUCAUAGACAUCGUUGGAGUGGCUAGGAUUCGAACUCAGGAUUCCACAUUUCUCUACAUUUAAAUGUGUGAGAGUCAAAUCACUAGGUUACUUGAAAAAAAAUUAAAUUACUACCUCCAUUUAAAAGUGACUAAUCUUUGACGGGAAGUCUUAGUUACAUAAAGUGAAUUCUUUCAUUCCAACUAAAUUUUAUCAAUAUGCAAAAUAAGAUAUCAAACUCUUCACUAUCCGUUUAAGAGAGACCCAAAUUUCUUACUAUUUUAACUAAUUCAUUGAUAAUAAAUUAUAAUAUUUAUCACUUGAAAUAUAAGUGAGAAAUAUCACUAAUCGUCAAUAACUAAAAAUUAGAAACAAAGAUAGUAAAGAAAAAUGAGAACGGGAAAAAUAGAAAUCUAGAAAAGUUUUCUAAACGAGUAAUCCUAUGUGGGUUUUUUUUUUUUAAAUCAACUUAUACGUAUAUUUGAACUUUUUUUUGUGAUCAUGUUUAGUAAAUUAUAAAAAUAUUUCUGACAAAAGGUUAAUUUCUUUUAAAGAGGGAAGAAUUAAGUAUGAAAUUUUAUAUUUUUUCGCUUAAAUUAAUACUUUCUUAAAAAAAAUAGUAUAAUGUCAUUUGAUGCAAACAAGUAUAAGGGUAUCCUUCCGGCUGUAUGUCUGUGAGAUCACAAUCACUGACUACGUUUUUGAAGCCAUUACAAAGCCAAUUAGGGAGAGGUGGUAGAGACCCUUUUUUGUCGUCUUGUGAUAGUAAAUCAUUGAAGUCACCAACGAUACACCAAGGUAACUCAGACAUAUUUCUCAAUUCUCUCAACAAGUCUCAUGCUUGUCUCCUUCCUCCUCUUUCAGGAUAGUCAUAAUAACAUGUUAAUCUUGAUUCUUCUCCCUCAUUCUCUUCCACUACUAAGUUAAUAAAAUUCCGUGAAUAAUUCAAAACUCUGCAUUUUAUGGUAUCUCUCCACAUGACAGACAAUCCUCCACUCCUCCCCUCCACAUCAACAUACAAACAAGAAUUAAAGUUUAUGUUCACACGAACACGUUCCAUAGUUUGGGUUUUAGAUAAAGUUUCAGACAAAAAAAGAAUAUCUUGUUUGUGGCAUUGAACAAUAUUUCGAAGAUUAGGAAUUGCACUCGGAGUGCUCAACCCCCGACAAUUCCAACUGAGGAUUUUCAUUGAUCCCUAUAGUCUUGGCUGCCAGGACCUGCCGCUAAAAAAUGCUCAAACAUAUUCAGAUUCACCCGGUUUGUGUUUUCCUCCUCUCUUCUUCUCUUUUUUAAAAUCGAAAAUUCAUGUAAAUCAUUUAAUUCAUUUAUUGCUAAUGGGGGAAGAAUGAAUAUAUGACACAUGUACAUUUUGCUUUGAAAAAAGGGUCUAAAUAAUAUUAGUAUAGAUAACUACCCCCUCUGUUCCUUAUAAUAAGUAACACUUUGACGGAAAAAUUUGAUCUUUUUUAUAUGAAAUUUUGACUAAUUUUCAAAUGUUUUAAAUGUUCAAUUUCACUUAUGCCCUUAUUUAUUAUGAGAGAGAAUUUAAAAAUAAGUAAGUUAGUUGAAUAAAGAGGAAUUAAAUAAGGGUAUACAUACAACAAUUUAAAUUUAUAAGAGUAUUAAAUGAAAAUAACUAUAUUAAAUGUGCUUCUUUGAUCUGUGUGAUUUUUUCAAAUUGUUCCUUAUAAAAAGGAUAAGAGGGAGUAAUUUAGUGUAGAUGUUUUAAUUAUGUUGAUGUAUUAUGUCUAAUUACAGCUCUACAUGAUUAUGACAGGAAAUUUAUGUGGUGAACAGUGAUGAAAACUCAAUCAUGCCAAGGGACAAAUAUCCAAAGCCAAUAAUUUUUCAUGAUGGAAGAUUAGCAUUCUUGCCAACACCCUCAUCAACACUCUACAUGUUCAUGUGGCUACCAUUAGGACUUUUUUUAGCAAUUUAUAGAAUGCUUAUUGGUAGAUUCUUGCCAAUCAAAUUAUCACUUCCAUUAGGAUGUUGGACUGGAUUAGAUCUAAACCUCAAAGGCACUGAACCUAAAAAAACAGAACAAAACAGAGGUGUUCUGUUUGUAUGCACACAUAGGACACUAUUAGAUCCUGUUUUCCUAAGUGCAUUAUUAUUAC